rnacentral:lncRNA from 1 species
GGGGCUUCCGAGGCGAUUGGGCAGUGUCAGUCUUCAGCCGCUAAGCCGAGAAGACCUGGGAAGGAGUCAGUCAGAGAGGCUUGGGCCAGAGUUCCAGGGGCUCUGGGAGUGGCUGCCAGGAACGCGCAUGAAAAAACCAAACAAACAAAAAAAUUUCUUUUGGUAGCAGAAUAAAAAAACAAAAAAAAGGACUUUUUCUUCUGGACUGAACUAUAUUUAAAUCUCAAAGGAUGGACAUCUCACAACCUUCCUACAGCAAGUACUGUGAGAUGCAGCAAGAAGGCCCUCAACAGACACCAGAUGCCAGCAUCCUGAUUCUGGACUUCUAGCCUCCAGAACUCCUAUCAUCUGGAACAGGAAAGGAGACAUACCUUCAUUGAAUGAGUGAUGAAAAAUACUGUUGGGCAAGUUAGUUGGAGUUGUCGAUUGGGAUUAUGUUCCACAGCCCUUCUGUCAAGUGAAAGGCUUUUGUAUCUGCUGUCUCCUUGGCCUAGAAAGUUUGUCUCCACAUUGACCUACUUUCUUCCAGUCGCCCUUCAGAUCUCAGGAAAAAAAUUGAAAUACACUUUUGAGACUGUCAAUAUCUUCCAUCAGGAAUAUAGGAGUUGACAGCAGCAAAAUUACAGAAUCAGAGAAGCCAGAAACAUUAAAGUGGAACUGGAUGACAUCCUUAGGACCAUGAUUUUCAAGAGUGGCAUGGAAUCUUCUGCAUAUCAAAUUAGUCAUCAGGUCAAAUUGCAAGUGAAUUCAGCUCCUGUGUAAAACUUCAGAAUUCCCACAGAGAGGACUUGGAAAGCAAAGCACUAAAAGAAGAUAUGAAAAGUUACUGAUGUAUAUGAGUUUGCUUCGAAUAAGGGAAAGUGCUGUACUUUUCUUCACAAUCUUAGGGACCAAGCUAUUUUCUCAAGCACCUUACAGUCUUACCUUUCUGGAACAGCAGGUGCAAGACAAAGAAAAAGUACAUAAUGAGUGUAACACCAUAUUCUUUAACUUCUAAGUGUGGCAUCUCAGAGUCCUGAUCAUUUUACCUAUGAGUUCAUAACAGGCUGUUCCUGAGAAAGCUUCAAAGAAUGUGUUAGUUUUAAAGAUCAUCUGGAUGGGAAUGCUUCUAGAGACUGCCUACAGUCCUUGGCUUAUGGACCUGUCCAUCUUGAAAACCAACAAUGUCUAGUGGAAUCUUUCUUGUAUCCCAUUGCUCUGACACUGACUCUUCUGACUCCCUCACUAUGUUUGGGAUCACUCCUGUUUACAGUGGCCCAUCUCAAUAAUCCAGAUAAAUCUCCCUAUUUAAUGUCACCUGAUUAGCAACCUUAACUUCCCUUUGCUAUAUAACAUAAAAUACCCAUAGUUUCUGGGGACCAGGAUAUAGAAAUCUUUGGGGGACUAUUAUUGCCCACCACAGAUGGCAAUACUCUCCAAAUAUAUUUAGAGAUUUAGUGUAAUCCCUAUCAAGAUCUCAGUUGGCUUUUUUCAAAUUUACAAGCUGAUCUUAAAAUUCAUAUGAAAAUAG